rnacentral:rRNA from 1 species
GACGAACGCUGGCGGCGUGCUUAACACAUGCAAGUCGAGCGGUAAGGCCCUUUCGGGGGUACACGAGCGGCGAACGGGUGAGUAACACGUGGGUGACCUGCCCUCAGCUCUGGGAUAAGCCUGGGAAACCGGGUCUAAUACUGGAUAUGACUCCAUGACGCAUGUUGUGGGGUGGAAAGCCUUGUGCGGCUGAGGAUGGGCCCGCGGCCUAUCAGCUUGUUGGUGGGGGAUGGCCUACCAAGGCGACGACGGGUAGCCGGCCUGAGAGGGCGACCGGCCACACUGGGACUGAGACACGGCCCAGACUCCUACGGGAGGCAGCAGUGGGGAAUCUUGCGCAAUGGGCGAAAGCCUGACGCAGCGACGCCGCGUGAGGGAUGACGGCCU